UACGAAGGGGGGCUAGCGUUGUUCGGAAUUACUGGGCGUAAAGGGCGCGUAGGCGGCCAUUCAAGUUAGAUGUGAAAGCCCUGGGCUCAACCUAGGAAUUGCAUUUGAUACUGUUUGGCUUGAGUUCGGGAGAGGUGAGUGGAAUUCCCAGUGUAGAGGUGAAAUUCGUAGAUAUUGGGAAGAACACCAGUGGCGAAGGCGGCUCACUGGACCGACACUGACGCUGAGGCGCGAAAGCGUGGGGAGCAAACAGGG
rnacentral:rRNA from 1 species